UAUGAAGUAUUAAUUAACCGCCGCACUCAGAUACAUUUAAUGACUAAACUUCAAUUUAAUGAAGAGUUUAACAGAUAACGUAUG